GGCACAGUGGCACAAUGGGUAGCACUUUUGUCUCACAGCAAAAAGUUCUUGGACUCAAAUCCAAGGGGUGUUU